UACGGAGGGUGCAAGCGUUAAUCGGAAUAACUGGGCGUAAAGCGCGCGUAGGUGGUUAAGUCAGUCAGAUGUGAAAGCCCCGGGCUCAACCUGGGAACUGCACCUGAUACUGCUUAGCUAGAGUACGGUAGAGGGAAGUGGAAUUUCCGGUGUAGCGGUGAAAUGCGUAGAGAUCGGAAGGAACACCAGUGGCGAAGGCGACUUCCUGGACUGAUACUGACACUGAGGUGCGAAAGCGUGGGGAGCAAACAGG
rnacentral:misc_RNA from 1 species